UUAACUGUAGCUCAAGGGGUAGAGUGGAUAACUUUUAAUUAUCUUGUUAUAGGUUCGAGCCCUAUCAGUUAAA
rnacentral:tRNA from 2 species